UACGAAGGGGGCUAGGCGUUGUUCGGAAUUACUGGGCGUAAAGCGCACGUAGGCGGAUAUUUAAGUCAGGGGUGAAAUCCCAGAGCUCAACUCUGGAACUGCCUUUGAUACUGGGUAUCUUGAGUAUGGAAGAGGUAAGUGGAAUUGCGAGUGUAGAGGUGAAAUUCGUAGAUAUUCGCAGGAACACCAGUGGCGAAGGCGGCUUACUGGACAUGUAUUGACGCUGAGGUGGCGAAAGCGUGGGGAGCAAACAGG
rnacentral:rRNA from 1 species